CCCUUUAUUAGUGAAUCUUACUAUACAGUAUUUCUCGGUUAGUAUACAAGUAAAUUAGAAAAUGCCUAAAAAAUACCUAAAAAUCCGUACAAAAUCUCUGAAAAUCCUUGAUAGUGAGGCGGAUAUGUGUAAAAUUAUUGACCAGUAGUUCCAGUUGAGGUUAAAAGCAUCAAACUUUUACAAUUGAUGUAGUUUUAUUUGCUUAAUAGAUAUUUGAAGUGAGGCCAUUCCUAUUUUGCUGCUAACUCCUGAAAACGGGUGAUUAGUGAUUAUCAUCUAUUGAAUUCUAUUAUAGCCAAAAAAUGUGAAAUUUUGUAUUCAAUU